GAGACAGGGUCUCACUAUGUUGCUGGUCUCCAACUCCUGGCCUCAAGUAAUCCUCCCACCUCAGCCUCCCACAGUGUUGGGGUUACAGCCAUGAGCCACUGGGCCUGGCCUGUAAGCCUUUUCUUCAAAUACUCAAGCAUGAAUCCAUGAAAGAGGCCAUGAGCCCCCCUCCAUGGUUUGCUGGCAGUGCUCUCUUUGAGCUGAAGCCCAGGACACUCAUGUCUGCCUGCUUCAUCCACUUCUCUUUCUUCUGCUUAAAACUACUCCUGGGACUGCAAACGAGGAUAGUUUUUUCUCUUAUGUCAUAUUUACUCCCUACCAUCAAGCAACAAACUUCACUGACAUCAGAGGAAAGUUUUAAUGCAGGCAACCAGGCCUUCACGGUCCAGUGGGAACUGAAAGAAUCCUCUACAGAACUGAGCCAGUUGUGUCAGUUUUCUAUUGUGGAAAAACAAAUCACUCUCAAACUUAUUCACCCCAAACCUCAACGACAUCAUGAUUCCAAUUGGUCUGUUCGACCUAAGUGAGCAUCUCCUCUUCCCUGUAUGUUGCUCCCUAGUAUGAUUCACAUGCUUGCCUUCAGCUGAGAGCCAGGCCGAGGCUGGAACAUUCACAGUGGCCUUGCUCACAUGUCCAGCAGUUGGUGCUGGCUAUGGACAGGGACAUCUCUGGUCUCCUCCACACAGCCUCUCAUCCUCCAGGGUCUCUCUCCACAUGGUCUCUCCAACAGGAAAAUCCACACUUCUUUACACAGAGGCUGACUUUUGAGAUGCUGAAAACAGAAGUUAUAAUACCUGUGAAGCCUAGGACCAGAAGACAUACAGUGUAAUUUCCAACCCAUUUUACUUGUCCAAGAAAGGUACAAAACCAGCUCAGAUUCAAGAUUCUGCCGAUUGAUGGGAAGAGUGGCACAGUCACAUUGUAAGUGGGUGACCUUUGGACACCAGUCUAAGAGGAAAGACCUAACAAUAUUGAUACCAGGGGUUCCCUAAGGAAUUAGCUCAGCCAUAUUACCCACAACAAAGCCUGCUGUCAACCACCGCCCCCACCCACUCACACAUACACAUACAGAGUUUCCAAGGAUUUUAGUGCUCCACUUGUAAAGAGGGCAUUCAACCAAAAUACUGGACAUCUGAAGAAAACUUCUAACAUGAAAGAUAGAAACACAAACAAUCAUUAAAGAACAAGUUAGAGGAAAUAAAUUAUAAGGGGAAAAGGACUUUUUUUUUUUUUUUUGAGACGGAGUCUUGCUCUGUCACCCAGGCUGGAGUGCAGUGGCAUGAUCUCGGCUCACUGCAACCUCCACCUCCUAGGUUCAAGCCAUUCUCCUGCCUCAGCCUCCCCAGUAGCUGGGAUUACAGGUGGGCACUACCACACACACAG
rnacentral:lncRNA from 1 species